UUCAUUACAAAUAAUCCAAAACAUAGAAGUUGAACUAAAUCCUUAUUGGUGAGGUGAAAGGUUAGCUCUGCCCUUGUUGGAAAGUUUCCAAAAAAGAUCGCGUACAAGCAGAGGUGAGAGAGAGUGAGAGAGAUUGCGAACGACACGAGAGAUACCGAACUACACGACAGUGAUAGUAGAUUAAAUGAUUUGAGAAUAGCUGUUUAAUAAUCCAGCUAUAGAUCAUUCAAAAGUGAAAAGUAGAUUUAUGUUUAAGCUUUGAGAAGUUCGUUGUGAACUUGAAUGCGACGAGAAGAUAACACUAACGUGAUAGGAUCAAUCUUGCGAUCUUUUUCCUUGAAACUAUUUUUCUUUUUUUUCUUUUGUUCUCUGAUUUAUAUUUCUUCUUGGUGAGCCGGGUUUUUUUGUGUUUCUUGUUUUAUUUCUCUCUUUUGUGAGCUUCUGAAUUGCUGCUGUGAUCUUGAAUUCUGUCCUGGCUGUGGAUCCUUAUCCCUGGUUUGGACUGGCGAGCCAUCCCAUAUUCUCGUACCUGGAAACAGAGCAAAAGAGUUGUGAGAGUUGCAAGAAAGAGUUUUCUGAUUGGUAGGACAGACUGCACACAUUACAGGUUUUCUUUCUUUUUCCAAGUUUUUCCUGGAUUUCCCUCAGGAUAAAGUUUCUUUUUUCUUUUUUUCUUCAUGGACUGUACUCAUUAAUACAUUUUUGAUGAACAUUCCUAUAUUUUUUUUGGAAUUUGAAAUUUAGAUAUUGAACUUGAAAUUGAGACACUGAGGUCAAAUUUCAGAAACUGACGUUUGGAAUUGUUGACUGUUUCUGUGUUUAUCGUUUAUUUCAAAUACUGUGUGUUACUGUUAUCCAUUUGUUUUUAUUUUGUUUUAUUUCAUUCUGCCAAUUUCGAAAAAUACAACAUAUGCAAGACAACAAACAAAGAGAAAAGAAAUACACUUACCUUUUAAUUAGCUACA